rnacentral:lncRNA from 1 species
GUGUAACAUCCCUAUGCUCUAAUGUGGGAACUCAUGGCCGAUCUUACCCAAAUCUGUGUAGAUCCCAGGUAACUUUGUGCAUUCCUAUGCUUUGAAGUAGUAAUUCCUGACCGACAGUACCCAGAUCUGUGCAGAUCCCAGGUACAGUGGAAGAAGGGAAGGGUUUGGAUUAAGAGCAGAGAGGAAGAAUAAGGAUUUGGGGAGGAAUUCAGGUAAGUUAGAGAGAAGAAGAAGAGUUCAGAGAAGAGAAGAAGAGAUCUGGGAGAUGGAUCUG